UUAUUUUCUGCUUUAAUGUUUACCGUUUAUGACAACAAUAUCUGAAAUGCAUCUGUUUGUUUGUUUUUUAAGAAGCUGAGGAAUCCUUUGUCCUAUAGUGAGAGCUAACAGCCAGCAGGAAAACAAGAACUUUUCAUGCAGCUUCAGUGAGAAUGUGUCUGUCGGUUCAUGGAGGUCAGGAGCUUGCCCUUGCGUGUCAGUCUGCGAACAGGCUGGGGUUGUACAGAAUAAGCUGUGUGCUGUAACAGUGAGACACGGGCUUUGGAAAGACAAAUCAGCCAGCACUGACUUCUGACAGCCAGGAACAAGAAAGCCUGUUUUCACAGCAACCCCAGUGGGCACUUGGCUUCUCAAGCACAAAGCGCCUUCCAGCAGAGGCACGUCGGUGUGUAGGGCGAACUUCGGAAAUGUGUUUUACAGAAAGAAGAUUCUGCUGUACAAUAAGAUGCCAAACCGAAAAUAAGGUAUGCCACGGGCUCAUUAAAUAAGACUCAUUUGUAAUCAACAUCCAUAAUGCUUUGGUUUCCCCCGUUGUUUUCCUUUUCUUUUGUCUAUGCGUCCACUUUUGUUUAAGGGAAAAAAAAUAAAGAUUUUAUUGAGAAGGAAAAGAAUACA
rnacentral:lncRNA from 1 species